CGUUUUUUUUUUCUAGAUGAUUUUUCAGAAACACUGAUAACUCGCAGCGUGCCACAUCCUCAUUUUAACAGAGACGACUUCCAAAAUAACAUAGGACUCUUUCAACACGAGGAUGCUUUACAUCAUCUAGUUUCAAACGUGUAUAUGAGCGAUGUCUCCUACUUGAACGAUUACAAGCUUAGGAUCAAUGCAAACGAUUUAAAAUUGAUCAGUUGGGAAGACUCGUGGCAUCUACAUGGUCACGUAGUACAAAAUCCCGUUCAGCCGUUGUCGCCGGAAAAAUGUAAGCUGUACGUUUCUCCAGUCGUGGAUAUUAGAGAUUACGAACACUGCGUAACAAUGAUGGAGAGACGGAAUGUGUCUAUAGCCCCUGGAGCGGUAUUGGCGAUGAAAUCCGAGUUCGUCGGGAUAUUUACGUGGGGUGACUCCAAAGGCAGGGGGCUCCCUUUCGUAAUACUGGACUUAGCACACUAUAAAGACUGGAUCACAUACAUUGUCUCUGCAAGGUAAACGUCGCAAUAUUUUACCUUUUUUUUUAAUUAACAUUGUUUGCUGUGAAAUGUGAAUAAGUAAAGAUUGAGCGUGCCAAAUAAAGGAGGAAUCGUGGAGUAUUGAGAAAAUUGUUUUCUAUUCCGCAUAAAUACCACUUUAAAUUGUAGCAAUACGUAGCCGUGUUUUCAAUCCUAUUUAAUUUAUAAUAUUUAUAUAAAAAAUCUAGAUUUCCGUGUAAAGUUUUAGAA